rnacentral:lncRNA from 1 species
CACUUGCCGAUGAUUCGUUUAUACGACUGGGUUGAAAGUUAUGGAACUAAAGCGCAAUUUAAAAUAUAUACAUGUAUACAUUAAACAUAAGAAAAAAACCCAUAUAUUUGAAUAAAUUGGAGUAAAAGUUUUGUAAAUAGACUAGUCCACGUAUGCCAACAGAAGGUAAUCAUCGAAUGUCGAUAGACUAUUGUAUACCAGAAGAAGAAGAGAACCAAUUUGAUUUAAAUACAGGUCGAUGUAUAACUUUUGCUUUGGUUCAUUGAAGUUGUCACGGGAAAUAGUAAAAUCACAGAUUUAUAUUUCAAUAAGAUUGUUCUCGAACAAAGGAAGGAAUUCGUCAUCACAAUUGUAAUAUAUGCCACUGGACGAACACUAAUUAUCCCCAAGGGAUGUGAAUAUUUUGCUGGCAAACUUUUGAGUAUCAAAGUUUCAAAUUAAUUUCGGGAUUUAUUUUCUCUCUUGGUAUUCAAUAACAGAAAAAAGAAUAAAUUACUUGUCCGCUAAAUAGGGGUAUUCUUGUCAGAUAAAAGACUUUUAGUUACAUUAAAAAAAAAUAUGGAAAUAUGACAUUAAAUUGGUUCUGUCGUUUUUUUAAACAUCGUUAAAAAGAUGUGUGUCUAAGGUGAACGCCACAAGACAAGAACCCUGUAAUACUAGUACGAGAGUAUAGCAUUUAAACCUUGCUUCUCAAUAAUAUGGUUGUAUCGGAAAUCUUUUCAUACAAAUUGACAACUCAUGGUCCGAUAUGCAUGUACUAUUUGCCACAUAACGCCCAUAGAUCUUUCUACCAUCAUCAUCUUAUUCUUUGAUAUUGCUGUAAACAUCGAUGGUUCACACCCAAACAAAAUGGGAGUAAUGGACCCUCAGAGCUUCUCCGUGUUAUACACUUGUGGAACUUAAUUCAUAGACGAAAUUUCUGUAUUGAAAUGAAUCUACAUCUC